ACUCAAAAUUAAUUCAAGAGAAUUUUAUCUCGAGCGAUUAAUUCAAUCAUAAAUAAUGAAUUCCAAAUAAGGACUAAUUAAUUUUAGUCUAACACUCAUUUGAUAUUUGAAAGGCCCAAAAGUCAAGGGAGCAAAAUCAUUAUUUCAAUUACCUACUGAGUCAAACUAGCUGCUAUACGUAACUUCUUUCUGAUCAUCAUUUAUCUCUAUUCUCUUCCUAACUCUCUCUCUCUCUUUCUUUUUCUUUUCUAAAUUUUCGCCACACAAGGUGCAGCCUCGAGUUUCUUCACGAUCGGGAAUUCAAACAACAUCCGAUUGUCACGAAAUUUUAACCAAAGGUAGAAGACUCAUAAAGGAUCAUUCUUACCGAAGGAGAUCAAAUUUUAACGGUUAGAUUUUCCAGAAAUAAUUUCGGAAGUGGCUGUCGGUUUCUACAGUAGCAGCGUCGAUUUUCUAUACGAUCGGGGGUUCAAACGUAGUCCGAUCGUUCUGAAAUUUUAAAGGAAGGAAGUUGGGGUUUCCUGAAGAUAGAAUACUAGCUUUGCGAAGAAACUUUAGCUCAUUUUUGUAACAUCAUAAAUUAGAUAUAAUUAAUACAUUUCUCAUUUGAAGAGAAAUGACUAUAUUCUGUAAAUAGACAUUUAAUAUCCCUCUGCUUUAUAAAUGUACAUGGACAAUUAUUUUAUCGUUUCA